rnacentral:tRNA from 1 species
GGUGUUAGCUUAGUUGGUAGAGCGUGGUACUAAUAAUGCCAAGGUCAUGGGUUCGAGCCCCAUAUGGACCA